UGACUCAACGCGGGACAGCUUACCAGGCCCGACGACCGCACGAGUGUUGUACACGAUAGGUCGAAGAGUGGUGCAUGGCCGUUAACGACAAGUGGGGUGACCUUUGGGUUAAGUCCGGGAAGUAGUGAGACCCCUGCUGUCCGGCGGACAGGACAGGUGCUCAAAGCACAGGAAGGAAGGGUCAAGAACAGGUCAGUGAUGCCCUUAGAUGGCGUGGGCUGCACGCGCACUACAGUGGUCACAGAAAGAAUCGCAGAGAGACAAUGGUGAUCGAGAGGGAAUGAGCUUUGCAAGAGGCUCAGGAACGAGGAAUUGCUAGUAAUCGCGGGCUCAUUAAGACGCGAUGAAUAAGUCCCUGUUCUUUGUACACACCGCCCGUCGUUAUCGAAGAUGGAGUCAGGCGCGAACAAGCGAGAGCGAGUGAGUGCAGGGUUCUAGAUGUGAUACAAGUCGUAACAAGGUAGCUGUAGGAGAACCUGUAGCUGG
rnacentral:rRNA from 1 species